rnacentral:pre_miRNA from 1 species
CUAGUAUUCCCUCCGUCCAAUAUUAAGUGCUUUCUAUUAUAUGUAUUUAGGCGUAUUUUAGUAUAUAGAUACGUCCAUAUUUAAACAAAUUCGAGUCACUUAAUAUGGGAUGGAGGGAGUAUAUC